AGUCCAGGGAUCACAGUGCACAAAACCCGAGCAUACUUCUGAGCUCUCCGUGAUGUUGAAAAAGAAUCUUCUUCAAGAAUGACCAAAUGCUUAACCUGCCUUGUGCCCAGCUCAGUGCAGAGAGAAGUUACUACACUGAACGAGAACUACAACCAGGAAGCAGUCUCCACCCUGAGAAGCAGCCAUUAGUACACAGAGGGUAUGCUCACAUAAGAAGAAAAACUUUCCUUUGUGGGGAUAUAUUUUUACUGAAAAAUCUUUCUCGACAACAUGCAUGAGAAGCAUUGGGUUGAUCAGAUGUGCCACCUUACUGAUUGAUGCCUGAUGGACAUGGUAAAGUUGACCCAGAA
rnacentral:lncRNA from 1 species